GUUCGAUCCUGGCUCAGACCAGACGCUGGCGGGAUGCUUUACACACAUGCAAGUCGAACGGCAGCACGGACUUCGGUCUGGUGGCGAGUGGCGAACAGGUGAGUAAUGUAUCGGAACGUGCCUAGUAAGCGGGGAUAACUGCGGCGUGGCUAAUGCCACUUACGCCCUUCCAGGAAAGCGGGGGACCUUCGGGCCUCGCCCUAUUAAAGCAAUGAUAUCGGAUUAGCUAGUUGGUGGGAGUAACAGCUCCUUAAGGCGGCGAUCAUGCGCUGGUUUGAAGGAUGACCCAACCACACUGGGACUGAGACACGGCCCAGACUCCUGCAGGAGGCAGCAGUGGGAAUUUUGGAUAAUGGAAACCUGAUUCAGCCAUCCCGCGUGUGCGAUGAAGGCCUUCGGGUUGUAAAGCACUUUUGACAGGAAAAGAAACGGCACGGGAUAAUACCCGUGCAACUGACGGUACCUGCAGAAUAAGCACCGGCUAACCGUUUUGCCAGCUGGCCGCGGUGUGCGUAGGGUGCAAGCGUUAAUCGGAAUUACUGGGCGUAAAGCGGUAGGGCAGUUCGGAAAGAAAGAUGUGAAAUCCCAGAGCUUAACUUUGGAACUGCAUUUUUAACUACCGAGCUAGAACGUGUCAGGGAGGUAGAUUCCCGCGUGUAGCAGUGAAAUGCGUAGAUAUGCGGAGGAACACCGAUGGCGAAGGCAACCUCCUGGGAUAACACUGACGCUCACGCACGAAAGCGAUGAGCCACUUGGGAUUAGAUACCCUGGUGGUCCACUGAAACGAUGUCAAUAGCUGUUUUGGACCUUCGGGCCUUAGUAGCGCAGCUAACAGUGAGGUUAAGCCGCCCUGGGAAGGCCACAGUGCGAGAGUUAAAGCUCAAGGAAUUGACAGGGACCCGCACAAGCGGUGGGUGAUGUGGAUUAAUUCGAUGCGCAAAAAAACCUUACCUACCCUUGACAUGUCUGAAUCCGAAGAGAUUUGGAACGCUGCUAGAACCGGAACACAGGUGCCAUGGCUGUCGUCAGCUCGUGUCGUGAGAUGUUAAGGUUAAAUCCCAUAACAAACGCAACCAUACUUAGUGGAAGGUUGCUGCGAAAGGGCACUCUAUUGAGACUGCCGGUGACAAACCGGAGGAAGGUGGGGAUGACGUCAGAGUCCUCAUGGCCCUUAUGGGUAGGGCUUCCACGUCGCAAUGGGUCGGGACGAGGGGUCGCCAACCCGCGAGGAGCCAAUCAGAAACCCGAUCGUAGUCCGGAUCCAUAGUCACCGCUCAGCUGCGUGAGUCGGAAUCGCUAGUAAUCGCUGGAUCAGCAUGUCGCGGUGCGACCGUUCCCGGGUCUUGUACCCGCCCGUCACACCAUGGAGUGAUUUUACCAAGUAGUUAACCUAACCGUAAGGAGGGCGUUACCACGUGGGAUUCAUGACUGGGGUGAAGUCGUAACAAGGUAA
rnacentral:rRNA from 1 species